GCCUAUAUACCGCCGUCGUCAGCUUACCCUAUGAAGGCCCCUUAGUAAGCACAAUUAGUACAACCCAAAACGUCAGGUCGAGGUGUAGCGUAUGGAAAGGGAAGAAAUGGGCUACAUUCCCUAUUACAGGUAAUUACGGAUAAUAUUACUGAAACGUGUAUCUAGAAGGAGGAUUUAGCAGUAAGCAGAAAAUAGAGUGUUCUGCUGAAACCGGCCCUGAAGCGCGCACACACCGCCCGUCACUCUCCCCGAACGUUUACCCACAACUUAACUUAAAACCUUACAUUAGUAAAGGGGAGGCAAGUCGUAACAUGGUAAGUGUACCGGAAGGUGCACUUGGCAAAAC
rnacentral:rRNA from 1 species